rnacentral:rRNA from 1 species
CGGCGGACGGGUGAGUAACGCGUGGGUAACCUGCCCCAUACAGGGGGAUAACAGUUGGAAACGGCUGCUAAUACCGCAUAAGCGCACAGUACCGCAUGGUACGGUGUGAAAAACUCCGGUGGUAUGAGAUGGACCCGCGUCUGAUUAGCUAGUUGGUGGGGUAACGGCCUACCAAGGCGACGAUCAGUAGCCGGCCUGAGAGGGUGGACGGCCACAUUGGGACUGAGACACGGCCCAA